CCCUUAGAUGUUCUGGGCAGCACGCGCGCUACAAUGGUCUUCGCAAACGGAUGCAUUCUCGAAGGAGAAUGCCAAUCUUGGAAUCUAUGCCUUGGUCGGGACAGUUGCUUGCAAUUUUUCGACUCGAACCAGGAAUUCCUUGUAAUCGUGAUUCAUCACAUCACGAUGAAUACGUCCCUGCCCUUUGUACACACCGCCCGUCGCUCCUACCGAUUGAGUGAUCCGGUGAGCUAUUCGGACUGUAUGCUUGUCACUUUGGCUUGCGUAUGGGAAGUUUCGCGAACCUUAUCACUUAGAGGAAGGAGAAGUCGUAACA
rnacentral:rRNA from 1 species